GAUCCUGGCUCAGAAUCAACGCGGGCGGCGCGCCUAACCCAUGCAAGUCGCACGAGAAAGCCCGGGGCAACCUGGUGAGUAAAGUGGCGUACGGGUGAGUAACACGUGGGUUACCUGCCCUCUGGUGGGGAAUAACCCUGGGAAACCGGGGCUAAUACCGCAUAAACCCGAAAGGGGAAAGCCGAAAGGCGCCGGAGGAGGGGCCCGCGGCCGAUUAGCUAGUUGGUAGGGUAAUGGCCUACCAAGGCUGUGAUCGGUAGCCGGCCUGAGAGGGCACACGGCCACACUGGCACUGAAACACGGGCCAGACUCCUACGGGAGGCAGCAGUGGGGAAUCUUGCACAAUGGGGGAAACCCUGAUGCAGCGACGCCGCGUGAGCGAUGAAGCCCUUCGGGGUGUAAAGCUCUUUCGGCAGGAACGAUAAUGACGGUACCUGCAGAAGAAGCUGCGGCUAACUACGUGCCAGCAGCCGCGGUAAUACGUAGGCAGCAAGCGUUGUUCGGAGUUACUGGGCGUAAAGAGUGUGUAGGCGGUUUGCCAAGUUCGGUGUGAAAUCUCCCGGCUUAACUGGGAGGAUGCGCCGAAAACUGGCAGGCUCGAGUGCGGGAGAGGAGAGCGGAAUUCCUGGUGUAGCGGUGAAAUGCGUAGAGAUCAGGAGGAACACCUGCGGUGUAGACGGCUCUCUGGACCGCAACUGACGCUGAGACACGAAAGCGUGGGUAGCAAACAG
rnacentral:rRNA from 1 species